rnacentral:rRNA from 1 species
AUUGAACGCUGGCGGCAUGCCUUACACAUGCAAGUCGAACGGCAGCACGGGAGCAAUCCUGGUGGCGAGUGGCGAACGGGUGAGUAAAGUAUCGGAACGUGCCCAGUCGUGGGGGAUAACGUAGCGAAAGUUACGCUAAUACCGCAUACGAUCUAUGGAUGAAAGCGGGGGAUCGCAAGACCUCGCGCGAGUGGAGCGGCCGAUAUCAGAUUAGGUAGUUGGUGGGGUAAAGGAUCACCAAGCCGACGAUCUGUAGCUGGUCUGAGAGGACGACCAGCCACACUGGGACUGAGACACGGCCCAGACUCCUACGGGAGGCAGCAGUGGGGAAUUUUGGACAAUGGGCGAAAGCCUGAUCCAGCCAUGCCGCGUGCAGGAUGAAGGCCUUCGGGUUGUAAACUGCUUUUGUACGGAACGAAAAGGUUUGGCCUAAUAAGCUGAGCUCAUGACGGUACCGUAAGAAUAAGCACCGGCUAACUACGUGCCAGCCGCCGCUGUAA